rnacentral:rRNA from 1 species
AUACGUAGGGGGCGAGCGUUGUCCGGAAUGAUUGGGCGUAAAGGGCGCGUAGGCGGCCCGGUAAGUCUGGAGUGAAAGUCCUGUUUUUAAGAUGGGAAUUGCUUUGGAAACUGUCGGGCUUGAGUGCAGGAGAGGUAAGUGGAAUUCCCAGUGUAGCGGUGGAAUGCGUAGAGAUUGGGAGGAACACCAGUGGCGAAGGCGACUUACUGGACUGUAACUGACGCUGAGGCGCGAAAGUGUGGGGAGCAAACAGGAUUAGAUACCCUGGUAGUCCACACUGUAAACGAUGAAUGCUAGGUGUAGGGGGUAUCGACCCCUUCUGUGCCGCAGUCAACACAAUAAGCAUUCCGCCUGGGGAGUACGGCCGCAAGGUUGAAACUCAAAUGAAUUGACGGGG